UUUCGGAACAACUUAGGCUCAAAUGAAAGAGUAUUGUAUUAUUACUUUGCAUACCAAGUCUAAAAUCUUUACGUUAAAUACAACUCGAGAAAUAAAGCAAUGAAACUGCGUUAUUUUGCAAAUAUAAAUGUACAUCCGAGCGAACCUGCGAUCAAGCAGCGGAAUUACAUCGUUACGUCACUGCGCGACUCUGUAAUCGAGCAAUUUCGAAGAGAAUAGAAUAGAUGUUUUGUCUGUCAAUUUUAAAGUCUUCUAGGUAAAUGGCGUAUUUAAACGAUUCUUCGAGCGAUAUUUUGACCUGUUCUAACUUAAAAGAUGGUAAAGAAAUUUCAAAGAUAAAUGAAGGGUUUAAAUAUUAUAUUUUUGAACUGGUUAAUGAAACGGGGACAUAUUUUUCUGACAUGCUAAGACGAAAGCAGAAAAUAUGUGUAUUGAAGAUUCCAAUUCAGAGUUUUAACGACACCACAAUUUUCGAGACAUUGUCAAUGACUGGGAAGACAAUCUUAUUUUGAACUUCAUAAAACUGAUCUUUAUUUACAAAGUUUAAAUUAAUUGCAUUUGCAAAUUGCUUGGUGGCUUCAUAGGUUCCUCCAGUCAUGAUAGUUGCAGCAGGAAUUAAAAUAUUACCUGCUGGUUUAUUGUGCAAAUCUGGUUGAGACUUCCACUGGUAAGUAUGAUUAUUGCUACAUGUUGUUUUUAUGGCAACCAUACUACCAAUAUGGGACUUCUCAAUCUCACAAAGAGAACCACAUAUUCUACAUGUUGCGAACAGCUUAUCAAGCAUGCUUUCAAAGACAAUGAAUUUUCUUUGAUUUUUUAGUUCCUCACCUUCAGAUUCCUCAUCUGUAUCUAGUUCCUCAAGAUAGGUAUAAUCAUCAUCUACAAAAUAGUCAAACUUCUCAACCAAGAGAGUACAAAGCUAAUUGUUUAAAGAACAGUUCAAUAACUUCAAAUAUAAUCUAUAUGGUUGCAAUAUCCUA